GUGAGGAGCAGGUGGCCCUAUGAUAAGCUAACUCACCUGGACAGCACCACAGCUCCCUCAUGCAGCAGAGCGAGAAAGAGAUAGCAACACGAGGGAAGCAUAAUUAAUGGUGGCAAGGCCAAGGAACAUGCUACAGCUUUAUGGAUUUUUGAUGCAUUCCAGCAGGAGCUUAGCAUGUAGCGUCACAUGGGUCCAAGACUGCCUUCCUUCCUGCAGCUCAGUGAUGACACCAGGCUGCACGUGACACCAGCGAGACGGAGGCCUCGCGAGAGCUGUUCCGUUCCACUGCGCAGGUGCUGUCAGGAGCUGGUUGACGGCACAGGCGCUACCGAGGCCCGACACGUCGCCCGGUGAGGAUUCCCUGUGUCAUUUUCCCUCCAUCACGUAAAUCAUGCAAAACGCAUCUGAGACGACGGCAUUUCAGUGAGUGCUCAUCUUUGAUGGCCGGCUCACUUUGAGGUCCCCUGCCGGUCCCCCGCCGAUCCGAUUCGAGGCCCUCGCGGAACCUCCAGGCGAAAAGGAACUCGGGCGACUUACUUCUGCAGGUUCUGCAGAGCCAACAAACUCAACAUGGAAAUAUGGCUUAAUGGGGCCUGCAUUAUGAAUGGAGUCUUUAAAGCACAUUUAAGAGAGUCGACAGUAUUUCAGAGCGAUCCGGUCGGAGACAGAUGUGGUGUGAAGCGGAGGAGAGACAAGACCAUUUGAAACCCUUCCUACGCAGCCGUGCCCAACACCAGGCGGAGGAAGUGCAGGGACAGAGAGGGAAGGGAGCACAACUAACAUGAGCCUUCCUGCACUUCGAACCAAAGCCAUCCAUUUAGCGUAAUAAUUUCCAGCACUGGAGCAUCAUUACCAUAACAGCAGAUUGAUUCAGCGUCGUUUCGGAGGUGUCGGCGGUGCAGGGGAAUAAAGUGACGCAGAUGGACAGCUCAUUAAUUCCUAUGCAUGCCCGUGCCUAGAACAGCACUUUUUUUUUUCUGUUGUUGUUGUUGUUUGUAUUUUUUUCCACUACAUGCUGGAAAUUUACAGCGUUGACAGACUAACUGAGCACACUCCUAAUUUGUAUCAUCUCAGAUUUGUUUUUGUUUUGGUGUCAUCUUUAUUCUUUACUGCAAAUUACAGAGCGCCCCUCGAGUAAUCUGGCCGGGCCUAGGGAAGUUGAUGAGCUGGUCGCAGGGAUUUACUGGGGCGGCGAGCAUCAGCCCUGGUGUUUAUGAUAAUUGUGGCUCUUCAUCCUGCACAGACGAAGUUUGGCCAUUUUUCUCGGCCCUCCUUUUAGCAGCGCGGCCUUUCAGAGAGAAAGCGCCAGGUUUAGGCUUGCAGAUCUCAUGACUCCAUCACAAGGCUUCCAUGAUACGCUCAUUGUACUCACAGUGAUCUGUCUGUUGCUCAUUGCAUUAACAGGCUUUCUUUGUUAACAUAACUGUAUUACCACAAAUAAACUACCAUUUCCCUAUUCA